rnacentral:rRNA from 1 species
UCGAGCGAACGGACGAGAAGCUUGCUUCUCUGAUGUUAGCGGCGGACGGGUGAGUAACACGUGGAUAACCUACCUAUAAGACUGGGAUAACUUCGGGAAACCGGAGCUAAUACCGGAUAAUAUUUUGAACCGCAUGGUUCAAAAGUGAAAGACGGUCUUGCUGUCACUUAUAGAUGGAUCCGCGCUGCAUUAGCUAGUUGGUAAGGUAACGGCUUACCAAGGCAACGAUGCAUAGCCGACCUGAGAGGGUGAUCGGCCACACUGGAACUGAGACACGGUCCAGACUCCUACGGGAGGCAGCAGUAGGGAAUCUUCCGCAAUGGGCGAAAGCCUGACGGAGCAACGCCGCGUGAGUGAUGAAGGUCUUCGGAUCGUAAAACUCUGUUAUUAGGGAAGAACAUAUGUGUAAGUAACUGUGCACAUCUUGACGGUACCUAAUCAGAAAGCCACGGCUAACUACGUGCCAGCAGCCGCGGUAAUACGUAGGUGGCAAGCGUUAUCCGGAAUUAUUGGGCGUAAAGCGCGCGUAGGCGGUUUUUUAAGUCUGAUGUGAAAGCCCACGGCUCAACCGUGGAGGGUCAUUGGAAACUGGAAAACUUGAGUGCAGAAGAGGAAAGUGGAAUUCCAUGUGUAGCGGUGAAAUGCGCAGAGAUAUGGAGGAACACCAGUGGCGAAGGCGACUUUCUGGUCUGUAACUGACGCUGAUGUGCGAAAGCGUGGGGAUCAAACAGGAUUAGAUACCCUGGUAGUCCACGCCGUAAACGAUGAGUGCUAAGUGUUAGGGGGUUUCCGCCCCUUAGUGCUGCAGCUAACGCAUUAAGCACUCCGCCUGGGGAGUACGACCGCAAGGUUGAAACUCAAAGGAAUUGACGGGGACCCGCACAAGCGGUGGAGCAUGUGGUUUAAUUCGAAGCAACGCGAAGAACCUUACCAAAUCUUGACAUCCUUUGACAACUCUAGAGAUAGAGCCUUCCCCUUCGGGGGACAAAGUGACAGGUGGUGCAUGGUUGUCGUCAGCUCGUGUCGUGAGAUGUUGGGUUAAGUCCCGCAACGAGCGCAACCCUUAAGCUUAGUUGCCAUCAUUAAGUUGGGCACUCUAAGUUGACUGCCGGUGACAAACCGGAGGAAGGUGGGGAUGACGUCAAAUCAUCAUGCCCCUUAUGAUUUGGGCUACACACGUGCUACAAUGGACAAUACAAAGGGUAGCGAAACCGCGAGGUCAAGCAAAUCCCAUAAAGUUGUUCUCAGUUCGGAUUGUAGUCUGCAACUCGACUACAUGAAGCUGGAAUCGCUAGUAAUCGUAGAUCAGCAUGCUACGGUGAAUACGUUCCCGGGUCUUGUACACACCGCCCGUCACACCACGAGAGUUUGUAACACCCGAAGCCGGUGGAGUAACCUUUUAGGAGCUA